rnacentral:misc_RNA from 1 species
AGUUGAGUUGAGUUGUACUCUUUUUCCAGAUAUUCUGAUAUUUAACUCUCUUCUCUCUCUGUCUCUCAUCAGUGUAAAACCAACUAGACUUGCUGUAAACCCAAAUAAUUGCACUUGACUGUUAGGCAUAUUCACUCUCUGUGGUAUCUUUUUUUAUCAUUUCAACUGAAGUUUGUUGUGGCUCUUACAGGGUAAAUUGUAUUUACUGCUU